AACCUCACCACACCUGAGUUGAGUUUUUUAAUAAAGCAGAUCACAGCUAUGGCCAGCAAAAAAGUGGAAGUUAAACGCACGCGGGACGCUAAAUCUUCCGUCAGAUACGUUAAUGAAAUGUCAGAAAAGUCCUCCUAAUUUUUUUAUUAUUACAACUCUACCCUCAACCCUAUCAUCUUCUCUUUUACCAGUUACAACAAGUCCAGCCGCUCCUCCACUGUUCUCUCCCUGAAGCACGACAUCCUCCUGUCAAAUGGCAUGAUUGAGCGUUGAAACGUGACAUCGGAUCGGGUUCGUUUCAGCACAUAAAGUAGCUGGAUCUCUUUCAGAAUAGCAGUAGAGGAGUAGUUGGAUUAGGUAAAAAUGAGUCAACAAAGGAAUGAUGGAUGUGAUGAAGCCCCCCAAACAGAGAAGGCAAAUUGGGAGCAGGCUUUGACUGCUAUU